UCUCUAGUCCGUUUUUAUUGGCUAGCCACGAAAGCCGUAACUACCGAGUAUCGACUUCUGGGAAGACACGGCACAUUCUCCUUUUUCUUCUUCUUCUAUUCUCCUCCCCCAUCUCCUUAUGAAGUAAUAACAAAAGUGCUCGACGCGACAUACGUCGAACAGUAAUGGACAAAGCGCGCGAACCAAAGUGGAGCACGUCAGCAGUCCUUGUGCCGGCAAUCCUCGGCAUAAAAACGUCAAUGAUCGUCUACCCCUGCGAAGAUGGGAGCCGACGAUCAACAACACAAUGUCGACGACAAUAACAGAUACAUCUGUCGCGGGACAAGCGUAAAACGCGAUUCGUCAAACUGUUUACGGCUGUCGCGAUCCUUAUUCGGUGAAUAAUUGCUUCGCCCGGUGAUGGCUGUAUCCUUCUCUGCGCAGGACGAUUCCUCAACUUCAGCUUAGAACGCGCGAAUAUUCUUCGAUUUAUAUAUUCGAGGAAAGAGAUGGAAUCAAAUCGAGAACAGAUUAUUUUGACACGGAAGAACAUUUGUAACAUUUCGUCCCGAUCUAUAAAAUUUAUUGACGAAAUAAUUCGCGUAGAGGGAAGACCUGUUGAAGAGAGAAACGGGAAAAUAAGAGAUCAACGUUGAAACCAGGACAAUGACCGAGUCGUUGGAAACUCAUAACGCCUGGAAAUGAUAGCGAGAGAAAAGAGGGACGUUUUGCAAAUACAAAUAACCUUCGUGCUUUCUUCGGAUAACAGUGACCAGAUAUAAGAUAUAAGAUGACUUUUGUGAGUAAUAGAUCUUCGUUGCGAGUUUCUUCCUUUAUACAUUUUGUUGCAUUCCCGAUGAAAUUUUUAUCACAAACGAAUUAAAUCUUAUCGAUGAGU